rnacentral:rRNA from 1 species
AUACGUAGGGGGCGAGCGUUGUCCGGAAUGAUUGGGCGUAAAGGGCGCGCAGGCGGCCCGGUAUGUCUGGAGUGAAAGCCCUGUUUUUAAGAUGGGAAUUGCUUUGGAUACUGUCGGGCUCGAGUGCAGGAGAGGUAAGUGGAAUUCCCAGUGUAGCGGUGAAAUGCGUAGAGAUUGGGAGGAACACCAGUGGCGAAGGCGACUUACUGGACUGUAACUGACGCUGAGGCGCGAAAGUGUGGGGAGCAAACAGGAUUAGAUACCCUGGUAGUCCACACUGUAAACGAUGAAUGCUAGGUGUAGGGGUAUCGACCCCUUCUGUGCCGCAGUCAACACAAUAAGCAUUCCGCCUGGGGAGUACGGCCGCAAGGUUGAAACUCAAAGGAAUUGACGGGG